CCCCGCCGUCCCCAUGGAGGGUAGAGGUAUGAAGGCAAGUCCUGGAUCUAUAUCUUUGUGUUUUUGUUUUAGUGACGUGUGCCGUGCGGUGAACCAGGGACACGAACGGACGGGUCAAAUAUGGACGUCCCGCCUCCCUCCAUCCUGCUGCUCCUUGAUCAGCCGCGAGCAUCUUGUGAAGACUCAAGAAGUGAAGCUGCCUCUCGGGAGUUUGUUGGCGGACGGACAGGAGGCAAAAGUAGAAGAGCUGGAGGAGGGAAAAGUUAAACUACACAUCAUGUCACGAGAGAUCUGUCAGCUUCCUUGCACACCGUCGCUCUGAAGGAUAUAUUCUGAAACAUUCCACUAUAUCAUUCUAAAGCCUGUAGUUGAAAUUACACUUUUUUUGUGUGUUUGUGUUUCUCUGAUUCUAGUGACAGAUUAACAACACUUCUUCUUUUUAAUCAAGAGAUACAGUUUUAAGAAUCCAGCUUAUCAUCUCUGUGUCCUUUGAAAAUAAUCGUGAUGAGAGAGCGAAGCGUUUCAGAAUACUGGCCUUUAGUUCAUCGCGUUGACAUACAGAAACAUCUCUAGAAGUAAAAGUGUUGUGAUUACAUACAUGACUCUCCUCGUAUACAUACCUUGAUAAUAUUCAUUGCACUCUGUAAGCGAGACAUUUUAGUGAUGCAUUGGACAUAUUAAAGAUAUACGUAUUUUU